rnacentral:rRNA from 1 species
UUGGCUCAGAACGAACGCUGGCGGCAGGCUUAACACAUGCAAGUCGAACGCCCCGCAAGGGGAGUGGCAGACGGGUGAGUAACGCGUGGGAACAUACCCUUUCCUGCGGAAUAGCUCCGGGAAACUGGAAUUAAUACCGCAUACGCCCUACGGGGGAAAGAUUUAUCGGGGAAGGAUUGGCCCGCGUUGGAUUAGCUAGUUGGUGGGGUAAAGGCCUACCAAGGCGACGAUCCAUAGCUGGUCUGAGAGGAUGAUCAGCCACAUUGGGACUGAGACACGGCCCAAACUCCUACGGGAGGCAGCAGUGGGGAAUAUUGGACAAUGGGCGCAAGCCUGAUCCAGCCAUGCCGCGUGAGUGAUGAAGGCCUUAGGGUUGUAAAGCUCUUUCACCGAUGAAGAUAAUGACGGUAGUCGGAGAAGAAGCCCCGGCUAACUUCGUGCCAGCAGCCGCGGUAAUACGAAGGGGGCUAGCGUUGUUCGGAAUUACUGGGCGUAAAGCGCACGUAGGCGGAUAUUUAAGUCAGGGGUGAAAUCCCGCAGCUCAACUGCGGAACUGCCUUUGAUACUGGGUAUCUUGAGUAUGGAAGAGGUAAGUGGAAUUCCGAGUGUAGAGGUGAAAUUCGUAGAUAUUCGGAGGAACACCAGUGGCGAAGGCGGCUUACUGGUCCAUUACUGACGCUGAG